rnacentral:lncRNA from 13 species
CCAGGUUCAAUUCAUUCUCCUGCAUCAGCCUCCCGAGUAGCUUGGAUUACAGGAGUCUGCCACCAUGUCCAGCUAAUUUUUGUGUUUUCCGUAGAGACAGGGUUUCGCCAUGUUGACCAGGCUAGUCUCGAACACCAGCCUCAAGUGAUCCUCUCACCUUGGCCUCCCAAAAUGCUGGGAUUACAGGCAUGAGUCACUGUGCUAAGCCAAACCCCUUAAACUUUAGUUCAUAGCUCUGUUUAGGUCAUAAUGGUGGAUUCUGACAUAUAGAAUUAGCAUGGACUAUGAACAUCUUUAAGGCCCUAGACAAUGUACUAUAACAAAUUUGUUUCUAGAAAAUCUGAGAGAAUUUAUAUAUUGCCAGUACUAAAUAUAGCUGUGCCUGUCAUCUGACAAUAAUAUUUGUUUGUUUAACCUCUGCCAAAUCAUCAGGAGAGACAUUUUUCUGGUAGUUUGCUAGUGUUCUCUCACCAAAUUACCACCAAUUUGAGGCAUAAAACAAUAUUCUUAUUAUUUCAGAGUUCUAUGGGUCAGACAUGCAGGUACAGUAUAGUUCAGCUGUUUCUCUUGUCCUGGUUUCACAAAGCCGAAAUCAAAGUGUGAGCAUGGCUGUGUUUUUUUCUAGAGGACCUAGGAAUGAAUCCACUUCCAAGCUCAUUCAGGCUGUUGGAAGAAUUCAGUUCCAUGCAGUUGUAGGACUGAAGUCCAAGAUAACUCGCUGGCUGUCGGCUGUGGUUCGUUCUCAGCUUUCAGAAGCCAUUCAAAUGUUUUGGCUGGAACUCCUUUCUCCAUCUUCAAAGCUAGCAAAGACGCUGUUAGCUCGGGCAUAUUUUCCUGUGAAUAUAAAACCAAAAACAGCUUGAUUUUUGUUCUUCUAUAGGCAAUUUGGGUUUUGAGCCACUUUGAAGUUUCUAAAGGUGAAGUAUUUCAAGUAAUUAUUCUAUUGGAUACUGCCUCAUUUCCAAGGAAUUUGGAGAAAGGAAAUAGAUAUAAAAGUUAGGUCAAGGCAAAACUGAGGGUGUGACAAUAAAAUUAAGUCAGGAACUAUUAAAAGAAUGUAU